rnacentral:rRNA from 1 species
AUUGAACGCUGGCGGCAGGCCUAACACAUGCAAGUCGAGCGGAUGAGAAGAGCUUGCUCUUCGAUUCAGCGGCGGACGGGUGAGUAAUGCCUAGGAAUCUGCCUGGUAGUGGGGGACAACGUUUCGAAAGGAACGCUAAUACCGCAUACGUCCUACGGGAGAAAGCAGGGGACCUUCGGGUCUUGCGCUAUCAGAUGAGCCUAGGUCGGAUUAGCUAGUUGGUGAGGUAAUGGCUCACCAAGGCGACGAUCCGUAACUGGUCUGAGAGGAUGAUCAGUCACACUGGAACUGAGACACGGUCCAGACUCCUACGGGAGGCAGCAGUGGGGAAUAUUGGACAAUGGGCGAAAGCCUGAUCCAGCCAUGCCGCGUGUGUGAAGAAGGUCUUCGGAUUGUAAAGCACUUUGAGUUGGGAGGAAGGGCAGUAAGUUAAUACCUUGCUGUUUUGACGUUACCGACAGAAUAAGCACCGGCUAACUCUGUGCCAGCCGCCGCGGUAACAC